CAGCAGCCGCGGGAAUACGAAGGGGGCUAGCGUUGCUCGGAAUCACCGGGCGUAAAGGGUGCGUAGGCGGGUCUUUGAGUCAGGGGUGAAAUCCUGGAGCUCAACUCCAGAACUGCCUUUGAUACUGAAGAUCUUGAGUUCGGGAGAGGUGAGUGGAACUGCGAGUGUAGAGGUGAAAUUCGUAGAUAUUCGCAAGAACACCAGUGGCGAAGGCGGCUCACUGGCCCGAUACUGACGCUGAGGCACGAAAGCGUGGGGAGCAAACAGGAUUAGAUACCCCCGUAGUCCCUGUCUCUUAUAA
rnacentral:rRNA from 1 species